rnacentral:misc_RNA from 1 species
GAUGAAGAACGCAGCGAAAUGCGAUAAGUAAUGUGAAUUGCAGAAUUCAGUGAAUCAUCGAAUCUUUGAACGCACAUUGCGCCCCUUGGUAUUCCGAGGGGCAUGCCUGUUCGAGCGUCAUUAUAACCCCUCAAGCUUAGCUUGGUGUUGGGGCCUGCUGUAAUAGAGCAGCCCUUAAAAUCAGUGGCGGUGCCAUUAGGCUCUAAGCGUAGUAAUUCUUCUCGCUAUAGGGUUCUGGUGGAUGCUUGCCAUUAACCUCUAAUUUUCUAUGGUUGACCUCGGAUCAGGUAGGGAUACCCGCUGAACUUAAGCAUAUCAAAAGCGGAGA